AAUCCUUUUUAGGGGAGGGGGAAUGAUGCAAAUAAGGUUAAAAAUACUCAAGAUACUCAAAGAGCAUCAGAAGGUGACUUUGAGCAAAUUUCAAAUGAUGUAAACACAAAUACAGUUCCAAACCUGGAAAGUUUCAGUGGACCAGUAACAAGAUCAAAGGCAAAGAAGCUUAAAGAGUUGCUCCAAGUUUUUACUCAAAAAUAUGUGGAUGAUGGGCUGGCCAAUUGU
rnacentral:lncRNA from 1 species